AACGAACGCUGGCGGCAGGCUUAACACAUGCAAGUCGAGCGCCCCGCAAGGGGAGCGGCAGACGGGUGAGUAACGCGUGGGAAUGUACCCUUUGCUACGGAAUAGCUCCGGGAAACUGGAAUUAAUACCGUAUGUGCCCUUCGGGGGAAAGAUUUAUCGGCAAAGGAUCAGCCCGCGUUGGAUUAGCUAGUUGGUGGGGUAAAGGCCUACCAAGGCGACGAUCCAUAGCUGGUCUGAGAGGAUGAUCAGCCACAUUGGGACUGAGACACGGCCCAAGCUCCUACGGGAGGCAGCAGUGGGGAAUAUUGGACAAUGGGCGCAAGCCUGAUCCAGCCAUGCCGCGUGAGUGAUGAAGGCCUUAGGGUUGUAAAGCUCUUUCACCGGUGAAGAUAAUGACGGUAACCGGAGAAGAAGCCCCGGCUAACUUCGUGCCAGCAGCCGCUGUAAAAC
rnacentral:rRNA from 1 species